CAAGCUCUCUAUGAUGGAGCUCCAGCCUGCUGUAGCUGACAUUGGUGUUGCUCUUGGCCUCCCUGCUCGAGGAACAUCUCCU